rnacentral:rRNA from 1 species
GUCUAUGGCUAUGCCACCCCAAAUGUGCCCAAUCUUGUAUGAUCUUGGAAGCUAAGCAGGGUUGGGCUUGGUUAGUACUUGGAUGGGAGACCGCCUAGGAAUACCAGGUGCUGUGGGUG